AAAUGGAUGCAGCUGCUGGCGCGAUUGCGUUAGAGGAAAGUCCAUGCUCGCACAGUCUGCGAUGACUGUAGUGUUUGUGCCAGUCUAAUCAAUAAGGCUGGGCUGCCUGUAGGUAGACGGCUGCGUCGAAGCCUAAAGAGAAAUCCAUGGCUAAGACCUUUAAAAGUGCCACAGAGACGAAGCUCUUUUGGAAACGAAAGAGGUGGAACGGGUAAACCCCGCAAGCGAGAAACCCAAAUUUGGUAGGGGAACUGUCUAAGGCGAACUUGAAGCCAAGGACAGAUGCGAAAGCAUAGAUAAAUUGCUGCACUUACGCAAGUAAGAACAGAACAUGGCUUAUGAAA
rnacentral:RNase_P_RNA from 1 species